CACCUUCUCGACGGCCACCCUGAGCACCCCGUCCUGGUACGCCGCCGUCACCGUCUCCACAUUAGCGUUCUCCGGCAGCGCGAACCUCCUCAUGAACUUCCCGGUCCUCCUCUCCAUGCUCAGGUACUGGCCCCUUCCUCUUUCUCCCUCUUCCUCUCCCCACUCACGACGAGCACGUUGUCGUUCUCUACCUGGACCUUGAUCUCGCUGGCCUUUAUCCCGGGCAUGUCCACGACGAACACUGACGCAGAGAAAGCGAUGCUUUGGAAAGAAUUCCAAAAGAUGGUGUUUUAUUUUGAAUAAUGAAGUGCCGAUUACAAUAUCUUUGGCGCCUAUUUAUAAGAAGGUCGCCAUCUAGAAAAUAACAAAAUAACUUAAAUCUAGUAACAAAUUUGAAAAGAUAUUGAUAAACUAGAAAAUCUAAAAUCUAAUAACAAAUUAAAGAAACGAUAUUGAUAAACCAGAAUAUUUCAGAUAAACCAGAAUAUCUGAAAUCUAAUAAUAAAUAAAGGGAAACGCGUCAAUCAAAUAUUGUAAUCCCUUUUGCAAUCUUGAAGAUCACACAAUCCUCUUUGAUUUGUGGGACCGCCCACUCUUAUGACGCUCCAUUGUUUCCAGAAAGGCAUUUGCAUAUUGUUCUACAUCAGUCUCCUCCACUUCAGAAGAACUCGACCCCGAGUUAUGAUUAGGAUAAAGAGGAGUAUCUGGAGGAUGAUACUCAAAUAGGUCCGCUACAUUGAAUGUCGGGGAGAUGUUGAGGUCACUAGGAAGAUCAACAACAUAGGCAUUAUCAUUGAUUUUCUUCACAAUUCGACAGGGACCAACUUUCUUGUGCUUCAGCUUGUUAUAUGUACCAACAGGAAACCGUUCCUUGCGGAGGUAGACCAUUACUUCAUCACCCUCAGCAAAGACCUUGAGGCGACGAUGUUUAUCUGCAGCAACUUUGUAAACUGUAGUGGAAGCUUCUAGCUGUUGCUUCACACCCUCUUGUAUCUCUUGUAAUUUUGUUGCUAAGUUUUCAGCUGCAACACUAUAUCCUGGGACUUUGGGCAAAGGCACGAGAUCCAGUGUAUGUUGUGGCGUUCGCCCGUAGAUAACCUCAAACGGAGACUUGCCCGUGGAACGGUUGACGGUGUUGUUAAAAGCAAACUCAGCAGGAGCAAGAUACCGGUCCCAUUGCUUUGGCAUGUCACUACAAAGACACCGAAUAAUAUCCGCCAUAGUACGAUUGACAACUUCAGUUUGCCCAUCGGUUUGAGGAUGAAAGGAACUGCUAUACUGCAAAUCCGUCCCAAAUAAACGCCAGAGGGUCCUCCAAAAAUGACUAAGGAAUUUGGUAUCACGAUCAGAGGUGAUAGUUUUUGGAACACCAUGCAAACGAACUACUUCUCGAAAAAAUAAACUCGCUACAUGAGAAGCAUCAGAAGUCUUCUUGCAAGGGAUAAAGUGUGCCAUCUUUGUAAACCUGUCCACUACCACAAAAACAGAAUCCAUACCUCGUUGGGUUCGGGGAAGCCCCAACACGAAAUCCAUUGAAAUGUCUAUCCAAGGUCCAGAAGGAAUAGGUAGAGGGGUGUAAAGUCCAGUGUUCUGAGAAUGGCCUUUCGCAGUCUGACAAAUGUAGCACUUUCUCACAAAUCGUCCAACGUCCCGUUUCAAUUGAGGCCAAUAAUACCGCUCCUCAACUAAGGCAACAGUUUUAUCUCGCCCACAAUGUCCUCCAAGGGAGCCACCAUGCAGCUCUCGAAUAAGUUGUUCCCGCAAAGAGCUUCGAGGAAUGCACAACCUAUUGCCAAAGAAUAAAAAUUUGUCCUGAACGAUCAUGUCACCGUGAGAACCUGUCUCAAAACAUUUUUCCCAAAUUUCCUGAAAAUCUUCAUCAUCAGCAUAAAGAGCACAAAGGUGGUCAAAGCCCACAACGUCAGUGCGCAUGGUGACAAGUGUUGCAGCACGACGGCUAAGUGCAUCAGCGACUUUGUUCAAGUGGCCCGCCUUGUGUCGAAGCACGAAAUUGAAUUGCUCCAAAAAGGAGACCCAUCGUCCAUGCAUUCGAUUUAGAUGUCUUUGGCUCUUAAUAUAUUUGAGUGCCUGAUGGUCAGUGUUAAGGACAAACUCAUGUUGAUAAAGAUAGGGCUGCCAAUGCUUGAUAGCUCGUACUACAGCAAAGUACUCUUGCUCAUAAGUAGACCAUCGCUUGCGAACAUCAUUAAGUUUCUCGCUAAAAUAAGCAAUAGGCUUACCUUCCUAGGAAAGAAUAGCACCAAUUCCUACACUAGAAGCAUCACAGUCUAGUUCGAAUACCUUUUCAAAAUUCGGGAGCAUCAGUAUUGGUGCCGUGGAAAGUUUUUCCUUGAUGAGAGCAAAGCUGGCUUCUGCUUCGUCACCCCAAUGAAAUUUUCCUUUCUUCAAGCACUCGGUAAUCGGAGCCAUAAUAGAACUGAAAUUCCGAAUAAAGCGUCGGUAGAAUGUCGCAAGCCCGUGGAAGCUACGCGCCUCCCCAACGGUUUGGGGAGUCGGCCAGUCGCGGAUGGUAGCUACCUUUUCUGCAUCAACUUGAAGGCCUUCUGCUCCGACAAUAUAUCCCAAGAAGCGAAGUCGAUCAGUCAUGAAGCUACACUUCUUCAAAUUAAUGUACAAUUGGUUCGUCUGCAAGGCUGAUAAGACGUCCCUUAGAUGCUCCAUAUGUUGUUGGUCAUCGGGACUAUAUAUGAGAAUGUCAUCAAAGUAGACCACCACAAAUUUGCCAAUAAAAGGUUUAAGAACUUGAGUCAUCAAACGCAUGAAGGUGCUAGGCGCGUUCGUGAGGCCAAACGGCAUGACAAGCCAUUCAUACAAACCUUCACUUGUUUUAAAGGCCGUUUUCCAUUCAUCGCCAGGGCGGAUGCGUACUUGGUGGUAUCCGCUACGUAGAUCAAUCUUUGUAAAGACCUUUGAUCCCGCAAGCCGGUCGAGCAUGUCAUCCAAGCGAGGGAUUGGGAAUCGGUACUUGACAGUAAUCCGAUUAAUUGCCCGGCUAUCAACGCACAUACGCAUGCUUCCAUCUUUCUUCGGAGUGAGGAGUGCGGGUACUGCACAAGGGCUCAUGCUUUCGCGCAAGAAGCCUUUUCGAAGCAGCUCUCCCACUCGGUCUUGCAAAAUCUGGUUCUCCUUCGGAUUCAUCCGGUAGUGCGGCAAAUUAGGGAGGCUCGCUCCUGGAAGAAAGUCAAUCUCAUGUUGGAUAUCACUCAAGGGUGGUAAUCCAACAGGUAGAUCCUCCGGAAUAACAUCGCUGAAUGCCCUCAAUAAGGGCUGAAGAGCCACUGGAAUUGGAAUAAUGGCUUCUUGAUUACCUUUCUCCACAAUCAUAUACAUGCCCUCACGUUUACGAACGUUUAGCAUAAUUCCUGCACUUUGCUUCUUUGGGGCCUGGGGAGUGUUACUCAUCGGCUUCAAAAUAAUUUUCGUCUUUUUCCACACAAAAGAAUAUGUGUUCUCACGAGCUCUAUGAGUGAUAUCAACAUCGUAUUGCCAUGGUCGCCCCAAUAGGACAUGCCAUGCAUCCAUCUCCACUACAUCACAAAUUAUGGUGUCCUUAUAGGACUUUCCAAUUGAAAUAGGUAAAUGACAUACCUGCGUCACCUUGAGUUCGGCCCCUUUACGAAUCCACCCGAUUGUAUAAGGGGAGGGAUGUAACUCUGUCUUUAGUUGUAGAUGGUCCACCAAAACCUUGGACACUAUGUUCUCACAACUUCCGCUAUCGAUGAUGACAUCGCAAACUUUGCCGUUGACGGUACAACGGGCACGAAAAAGACUAUUCCGCUGCGUGUCUUCUCUUCGCGGAGCGAGCAAUAGUCUCCUAACAACGCAAUUGACAUGCUCGCCCUCCUCAUCCUCCACUUCUUCCUCAUCAAUCCAGUCAUCUUCGUAAAUGUCAUCGUCGUGCACGACAACAUUGGCCAUCUUCCGCCGUGGACAAUCACUCGAACGAUGUCCUACUUCGUUACACUUGUAGCAUUUGAUUGGUGGUGGCUUAGCGUAUGGGUUCUGGGCACUCUGAUUGGCGUUACGGUUGUUUGCGAUGACUGGUUCCUUGCGCACCCCAGUACUACUUCCCGGAGUUUGGUUCAUAGUGUUGGUUUGCUGGUUGGAGGAUUCUGAAACAUCUAGUUGUCUCCCCUUUCCAGAUAAUCCUCGAGCGGAAUAAUUGUUAGCCCGAUUAAUGGGGCUAGUUCUCUCUAAUUGCAUCUCAACCUUUCGGGCCAUCUCUUGAGCAUCCUCAACAGAGAACAAGCGAUGUAGCGAAACACGAUCUUGAAUAUUAAGUCGCAAACCAUUAAUGUACCUCGCAGUCUGUUGUGCCUCCGACUCAGCCAGGUUGUUACGGGCGGAAAGUCGGAGAAACUCCUCCGUGUAAGCUUGGACUGAUCGGCUUAGCUGCUUACAAUUUUGAAAUUGUUGAAAUAAUAAUUGCUCAUAAUCGGUUGGGAGGAACCGAACCUUCAACAUUUCCUUCAUCCGAUUCCAUGUUCGGAUGGGAGCUUUUCCUUGUCGACGUCGGGUCAGUUGCGUUUGCUCCCACCACGCUGAGGCACCGCCCUUCAAUUUGUAUGCCACCAAUUUUACUUGGCGAUCCUCUUCAAUCUCCAUGGCAUCAAAGAAUUUCUCGACUUCCCAAAGCCAAUCCAAAAAGUCUUCAAUAUUCAAAUUGCCAUUAAUGGUCGGAAGGUCAACCUUAAGUUGAUAUUGCUCGGGGUCUUGUCGAUAUCCCCGGUUCCGAUGGCCUCCACGAACAGGCCGAUCCAAGAACUCUUCUUCUCCUUCAGAGUCCUCGACAUAGGCUUGUCGCCUCUGUCAGGGAUUUGCCCCACGUUCCAUAGCUACUUCCGGGUCGCGAGCUGCCUGAUCAUGUUCAGCCAGAAGAACACCAGGUAUGGGGUUGGUAGACAAACGCUGGAUGGCGACAAGUAAUUCUUGAAACCUCCGUUCGGUUUGCUCCGCAAAUUGGUUGAACUCAUCCCGUGUAAUAGGCUCGUUUCUGCGGCCUUCAGCUACGGAGAGAUUGACAUUAACGUUAUUAGCCAUCGUCACAGGAGAAACCUGCUCUGAUACCAAAUGACGCAGAGAAAGCGAUGCUUUGGAAAGAAUUCCAAAAGAUGGUGUUUUAUUUUGAAUAAUGAAGUGCCGAUUACAAUAUCUUUGGCGCCUAUUUAUAAGAAGGUCGCCAUCUAGAAAAUAACAAAAUAACUUAAAUCUAGUAACAAAUUUGAAAAGAUAUUGAUAAACUAGAAAAUCUAAAAUCUAAUAACAAAUUAAAGAAACGAUAUUGAUAAACCAGAAUAUUUCAGAUAAACCAGAAUAUCUGAAAUCUAAUAAUAAAUAAAGGGAAACGCGUGAAUCAAAUAUUGUAAUCCCUUUUGCAAUCUUGAAGAUCACAUAAUCCUCUUUGAUUUGUGGGACCGCCCGCUCUUAUGACGCUCCAUUGUUUCCAGAAAGGCAUUUGCAUAUUGUUCUACAUCAAACACGUAGGAGCUCGGGUACUCCACGACGUCGGCAGGGGUCGCCGCCAUGGUCUUUGCAUCGCGGGGCGCGAGGGGUUGCUCCUCGAUUUCUCGGGCUCCUCGGGGAAGUCGAGCAUGUCUUCGAGGAUCCCAAAGAGGCGCGAAUCGAAGCCGAGAUUACGCAGAUCCAUAGGGCUGUUCGCUUUUCCUCGUCUUGGAGAGGGAGUGUGCUUGAUUGUGGGAUGCAGAGGCUGGAGCUCUAGUUAACUGGGGUUUUAUAGAGCAGUUUGAAGGAGGGGAUUGCCAUGAGAGAGGUCUUGAGAGAGCUCUGGAGAAGAGUAGAGGGAAUUUUGCUCAUGAUGGGUUUUGAGACGCUUCGGCAAUCUUCUGUAAUUUACCGUAGAGAUUACUAAAUAGGGACAUUCACCUUUUUAAUGACACGUGGUCCAUUUGAUUAAAUCUGUAUUAAUCAAUCUCAUCUUCCUAUCAUAGCGCACACUCGAACGUCGAGUAAAUGCAAGAUUUGCCAUCAUUUUAGUAAAUCCUUCGCCAGGUAAGAUUUCUUUGAUGAAAAAUUGUUAAGAAGUACUUGAAAUUUAGAUUUUAAAUGUCUAUUAAGAUAGUUCCAAGUUUUUUUUUUCCUUUAAGAUAAGUUAUCAAUCAAAUAAAGUGUAAAAAAAAAGUCAUAAACUUAUUAUAUUUAUGCAAUUUAGUUAUAAACCUUUUGAUUUGGUACCAUUUUAGUCAUUCUGAGAAAUUUUGGCUAGAUACUGCGAACAUGGAUGUCAGUUGGCUCACAUGGCCCCACUGGUACUAACAGAGAUAGCUUUUAAUAAUUUUUAAAUAAUUUUUUGAUUUUUCUCUUUUUUUCUAUCUUUUUUUCUUUCCUUUCUUCUUCAUUUUGCUGGUGACUGGCCAUCGGCCACACGCAAUAUUUGGGCCAAUUGGCCUUGGCUAGAGCCUCAGCAAGGGCUUCCUUGGCAUAGGCCAGGGUCGGCCUCACCUAGGCCAAAUUUGGUGAGGCGCGCCUGCCUAGCCAUCACCUGUGGUUAGUCGCCAGCAAAAGGAAGAAAAAAGAAGAGAUAAAAACGAAAAAAAAGAAAAAAAAUCAGACAAAAUAAUAAAUUUUUUAAAAAAAUAUUAGAAUAAUAUUCCACAUUAGCAUCGGUGGUGCCACGUUAGCCGGCCAGCGUUCAUGUCAAUAAUGUCCAACUAAAAUUUAUUGGAAAGAUUGAAUUAAUAUUAGAUCAAAAGAUUUAUGACCAAAUUGACACUGAUGCAAUAGAUUUAUAACUAACUUGACAUUAAUACAAUGAUUUAUAACUUUUCUGACACUUUUCUCCUAUCAAUCAUAGAGUAUCCACAAUUCAAUUAUUACUUAUUUUAAUAAAUAGAACGUGGAAGAACCUUGCUAGUCGAAAUUUGAGAUUGACAAUUGCUUCCCAACAAUGGCUAGAUAUGGAAAAGAAGAAAGAAAACUACCAUUACCAUACAUGUUAGCGUAAUUUCUAAACAAUGAAUUUGUUCAUCAUAGUUGAAAAGCCAAUUUCGAAAACUUAAACUAAUAGAUGGACAGAAAAGAAAAUGUAAAGUACACACGAAAUAAACUAGAGCAUAAUUUGGCUCUAAUAAUUCGAUAAAAGAUUCAACUUAAAAGCUUGAAUUGAUAUAGAGGGAGAUGACAUAUAUAUAGAUAAACCUUACCAUCAAGCAAUAUGAAAUAUUUCAACAGUCAUAGUUUAAAAAAGUUUGAGGUUGAAAGUUAACUAAUAAUUUGCUUCAUAUGUCUCGUAAUUAUAAGAAUCAUACAAGCUCCCAUCUGUAGGGGCGAAUGUAUAAUACAAGCUUCAAAACAAAGGAGGCAUGACGGGAUCAUAUCAUUAGCCACGAGUCUAGGGUCUGCUACGAGAGAAAAAAAAGGGAAUCGCAUCCCCCGUGCAAAAUUGACUGGUUACCAACAAAAAGGUAAUUUAUGAACUGUAAGAUCACUUUUGCAUUUACUAAUACGUAAGAACGUAGAGGUAAAUUAAUGACGCCGAAAUUAAUUUUAUGAACGCAAAAGGAAAUAUGGAUUUGCAUUGUACACAGUUGCGGAAAUCCAUAAAAAAUAAUUUUCGGACCCUCCUUUAAUUGAUUGGGCUUGUUCAUGCAGUCAAACUCGACAUUCUCAACAAUUAGCAACUAUGUUGGUUGAAAGACUAAGCGUAAAUGCACUUAUGACACCAUGCUCAUUUCAAGCAUCUUCCUAACACAGUCCACCUAAGUUAAACAAUCUUGGCUAAAGAAUAAGGUACUGCGCAUGCUCAAAUAAGAAUAUAAGAAGAGAUUUAGAAGCUCACAUGCCGUGUUUAGGAAAUUGGGGAUGCAUCAGGGACCAUUUGGCGGGGAUAUCGGAUUCAUUCGGCCUACGUAGGUCAAGUUCAUGCUUUCAUAUAUGUCCAUAUUAGUAAGAGAAGGACAAAAAUGGCGUUCAAAAUAUCUGUGAUUGUUUGGUCUUUGAUUUUCGCCAAUCAUGUCUAAGAUUGCGUGUAAAAAGUCCGGUCGUGGUUUGAGGGAAGAACAUCGUCGCACGGGCUACGAUUCCUCUGCCUUAGGAAGGCGCCUGGAUUCGCCGCCCGAGCCCUUUCUGAGAAUUAACUAUGGUCAAAGCGAGCUUAUGACCUUGUCCAUGUCUGCUCAGAGGCAGCUCGACUCGCGAGAGCUUCGACCUAGAGCCAUUCUCCCCCUCUUUUGCUCCAACACCGGCUCCAACUCCUUCCCUCCCUUUAGCGAGUGGAUCGGUCGCCCAUAACACUUGUACCUGCGUCAAAUUCAUCAUCUUGAAUGAUUGGUUCACAAACCGGGACUUGGCGGGACUUGUCGACGACUGAGCAGUUCGGGGACAUGCCCAUCAUGACCAGUGCCGAAGGAGGCGAAGGCUUGGUGGUGGGCAGGUCGUCAGAGGCGGAACGAUCGGGGUGAAGGAGGGGGCAGCGGCACUUGGAGAUGAAGACUCAUUGUCUCGUCUGGAUGGCCUGAGUCUCGUGGGUGCGUGGGUAUUGAAAUAAUGGGUUGGACUAUAGUUUUUCUCAGUCCAUUUUAGCCCAUUUUAGAAGGAAAAAAACGAGUUACUCGUACAAAAUUGGACUCAUUAAAUUUGAGUAAUAAAAAUGAUGGGAUCAUAUCAGUAGUCACAAGUCUAGAGUCUGCUGUGAGAAAAACGCGCCAAAUCGACUGGUUACCAACACAAAGAUAAUUUAUGAACUGUAAGAUACUUUUGCAUUUACUAAUACUUAUGAACGUGAAGGUAAUUUAAUAACGUAGAAACUAAUUUCAUGAACGCAAAACUAUGACUUACAAACAUCAUUUUGCAGUCAUGAUACAAUAAAGAUGUUACUUCAAUUAGACCGCGCUAGUAAUUUAUUAACAAUAAGUAUAAUUAAGAUCAUCCAAAAUUAGCACUCACCCUAUUUACUAAUCACAAGGGAAAUGACAACCUUAGAGGUGCAUUACAUCUUAAAGGGUAAAUUACUACUUUUAAUUACUUACUAUAAGGCAUAUGAUUGUCUUAAGAGACGCUGCUACUUUGAAGAGUACUUACACUUAGUGAUUUCCUUAUAACAUAGCAAAUUAUCUCAAACCAUCGCAAGUGAUAAAACACUGGCUAAUUGACCUAAAGCUGUGGUAAAUUGGCUAAACUCCUCACAAUAAUAUUGCACUUAUUGUUCGAACCGUUUUAUUAAAACUAAUGACAUUUCUUUACACUUCGUAAGUUGGGGAUGUUGUCGCCAGUAAUUAUCCAUUGAUGAUUUUAAUUUUCUUAAUUAGUCGCAAUUGGUAGUUCAUUAUGGUUAGUAUGGGCCUGCAUGGUUGCACCCUAUUUCUGUUCCCAGGAACAGAAAUUUCUGUUCCCAGGAACAGAAAUUUCUGUUUUUUUGUUCCUGGGAACAAAAAAGGAACAGAAACACGUUUGUGUGCGUUUUUGUUCCUUUUUUGUUCUUUUGUUCCCAGGAACAAAAAAGAAACAGAAACAAGAAACACAAAAAACUUGUUUCUUGUUUCUGAAACACAAAUCAGAAACAAAAAAGGAACAAAAUUGUGUUCCUUUCUUAUUUCUUGGAUAGUGCUCGAACAGGGCCUCCUCUCCCCCCCGCGACGAGCUUCCUCCUGCGACCUGCGACAAGCGACGAGCGACGGGCGAAGAGCUUCUCCUCCGGCGACCUGCGACGAGCGACGAGCUUCUCCUCCUCCGACCUGCGACGAGCGACGAGCUUCUCCUCCUCCGACCUGCGACGAGCGUCUCCUGCGACGAGCGUCUCCUGCGACGAGCGUCUCCUCCUGCGACGAGCGCCUCCUCCUGCGAGCAGAGAAUUCCAUCGUCUUCUCCGGCGCCUGUCUCGACAGCCGCUGCUCCUUCACCAGGUAAACGUGGUCACUGCUCCUCCUUCACCGAUUGCCUUCACUUCGGCGAGAGCCACCCCUCGCAGAUCUGGGCAAUGGCUAGUCGGAGCUCGAGUGUUAGGGCUCGCUCGAGCCAGCGCUCGCCCAGAUCUGCAGCAGUGUUGCCCGCCAGAUGCGAUGGAUGCUCGUCUGCUCGCUCGAGAUUUGUACCAGUAGGCUUGCCCAGCGAGCGUCUGCUCGCUUGCUGCUGCUUACGCUCAACUCUGCUCGAGCCAGCAGAAUUGGGAUCGGGCAGAAAAUUGAGGUUUUUUUUUUGGAGAAUUAGCCCUAAUCAUUAAUCUGGAUAUUCGCGAGAGGGGGGAAAAUAAUUUAAUUAAAUUAUGGUUAGGGUCGUUGAUAAAAAGGGAAUCCGACAAAAGCAAAGAGGCUCCAUUGCGAGACUCGUUUGUUUAUGACCCGGCCGCAUUCUUUUGUUAGCAGAAUCUAAUUUUUGUUCCCGUCUCUCUCCAUGUCCAAAGUUUCGUCAGGCCUUCUUUGGCCGGCAACUGAAUCCAACUCGAUAAAGCUGAUCCCAGCUUUAACCUUCAAUUUGUUCCACUAAUUACCUGUGAGUUUGGAAGAAAAUCUAAAAACCUAAUUUGUUUAUUAUUCUGAAAAAGCAAAACCCAACUUUUAUAAACGCCAAACAUAUAAAGCCAUGAAUUUUAUUAUCACUUUCUCGCCAAAUUAUCUUCAUCUCCAUUGUUCCAAGGUUUUGCGUUUGUGUCUUUCCUCUACUUGCCCUAUUGUCUAUUAUGCUAACUAAUGUUGCUAAUGUUUUUGCCUCCUGUUGCUCACAGAUUGAGACGUCUGAGGAACUUGAAAAGGUCUCUACUGCUGAUGAACGCCAAUCUUUCAUUGCAAAGCUUGAUGAGGUUAUCCUCUCCCUCCCUCCCUCCCUCCCUCCCUCUCAUCCCCAAUAGCUUAGACAAAUACAACGUAAUCUGGUAUUUAAUUAGUUAUUUGGCUAUUGUUUUAGGUGCAAGAAUGGCUUUACAUGGAUGGUGAAGAUGUUACGGCGGCAGAGUUUCAAGAGCGUCUGAAUUUGCUAAAAGCAAUUGGUGAUCCAAUUUUUUUCAGGUUUGUUUUAUCCUCGGAGGAAAUGAUGGCUUUUGACCAAGGGAAUAUCUGGAACAGUUCUCUUUCAGUUGUCAUUUUCUUAUUUAGCUUGCAAUAUACGCUUUAACCAUGAGAUUUUGGUCCUUUUAGAUUGAAAGAACUUACAGAACGGCCAGCGGCAGUUGGGCAUGCUCAAAGUUACCUGGAUCAACUGCAAAAGGUAUCUAUAAAAAUGGUUAUUGUGAAUUGAAAGUAGAUGGCACUCCCAUUCGAAAUAAUUUUAUUUCUAUUAUUUUCUGAUUGCCCAAUACUAAUCUUGAGAACUAUUUAUUCAAGCCUAUACUUAUCAAUGGCCAUUAUCUAACUAUGAUGAGUGACAAGAACGAGCCUGUUUGUCCCUUCAAAAAUAGAUUGGUUGUCGGCGCUAAUAUCUACUUUUACCUUCCUGCAUACACUCCUUUUUAGAUGAUCUCUCUCAUUGCUGCCUCCUUGUAAUCUGUUUUAAAGUUCUUUCAGUUUUCUAUUGUUGUCACCAGGUUCAUGGCAAUUCUUAUGUGUUGGUGCAUUUUCCUUGCGGUUUUGGAAAUGACAGAGUGAUUAUGUCCAUUUGACUUCUUGCAUGCUCAUUUUGCAUGUAAUAACGACAAACUUUUUUAGGUUUGGCAGCAUUAGUUUGGCAACACUUUUCAUUGUGUGUGGACUGUCAAUUGACAACAUCGGGCAUGACGAAAUAGCCUUUUAUUAGUCUCAGAGUUCUAUACAUUAUUGUUUCUUUAAUCUCAAUCUCUAUGACAUCUGGUAGAUCUAUGGAUUUGUGGCUGAAUAUAUCAAAGUGAUGUGAAUCAAUGUCCAAGUUAUUGUUAUUUCUUUUUCUGCCUUUGUGUUAAGCUUCUCAAUUCGCGUUUUGUCCUGUAUUGCUUGGAUUUGGUCUAAUAUUAGUAUUUUCUGUGUCUCUAUGAACCCUUGCGGCUCAGCCACAUUUUGAUCCAAUUGGAAGUCGAGGCUUGUUCUUUCUGUUAGUCCACAGGCAUGUCAGGUUUGAGUGAACUAAUGUUACUGAUUUCGGAUGCUUUUUUUUUUUGACGAUUUCUUUGAGUCUGGCGAUGAGUUCGAGUCCUGAAAAUCGUUAAUAUUAUUCCCCCAGUCCAUGCUUACCACACGUUUGACAAUGUGUCUAAUCCAGCCUAGGUGUUUGCAUUACCGAUUCUCGAUUGUUCUUGAACACGUAUAGGCAGGUUUCACGUGUUAUAAACCUCUUGUUGUUUGUUGGUCUUCAUUUGCAUCAUUAGACAAAAUCUAGGCAUUCCCCUUUUUCUUUUCUUUUUGUUUCAUUUUGUGGUAGGAAUGUUGGGGAUUAUACAUUAUGCGAGAUCCUUCGUAUCUUAUGGCUAUAAUGCUUCAAUUUUUUCUCUUUAAGUUAUGGAGAAUUUUUCUUUACUUAAAGUACAUCCUCACUCUAUCUCAAUUGGUUGUCUCCUUCUCAGGUGAACAAUACUGGCGUUGGUGGAUCCAUUAUCGACGCUGAUGCUUUGAGAACUUCGGUGGAUCCAUGCAAAGUUUCGCCUUGCCGGUGCCAAUCCACGAAGACAUAUUCUUUUGUAAUUUUGUUUUUAAGUAUUCACUUAUCAAAUCCAAUGUGAUGAAGUUGAACAAUGAACUAUAUUACUUCAUUAUUGUGAUGUUAUGUAUGAAAGGGUCUAUGUAGAGAUCUAAUGAGGUAUUCUUCUUUUAGGUAGCUUUUAUUGUACAAAUUUUACUUACGAAAUUUUGUUCCAAGUAUGCACAUGACCAUGUUCAGAAUGUUUGUCUUCACCGAAGCAUUUCAUUAGAGUGAUAAUGCAAUAUCAAGUUUACACUUCAUUGAAAAAAAGGUACGUGAGAAGAAUUUGGUACAAAUUUUAUUUAUAAAAUUUUCUUCAAAAGUAUGCACUUAUAACCAUGUUCAGAAUGUUUGACUUUACUCACCAUGAACAAAAUUAAAUUGAUGAGCAUUUUAUGAUAAUGAGAAUUCAAAACCAAGUUUACACUUUAUUAAAAAAAAAACAAAUGGGAAAAUUUUGGGACAAACUUAAAAGAUUUUCUUCCAAGUAAGCAAAUAUGAUCAAGUUUAGAAUAUUUGUUUUCACUUAAUAUGAACAAAAUUAAAUUGAUGAGCAUUUCAUGAGAAUGAUAAUUCAAUACUAAAUUUACACUUUAUUAAAAAAAACAAUUAAAAAAAUUGGAACAGAAAUUUCGUACAUUACCAAACGUGUUUCUGUUCUUUUUUUAUUCCAGAAACAGAAAUUUUUUGCAGUUACCAAACGUGUUUCUGUUCCUUUUUUAUUUUAGAAACAGAAAUUUUAUACAGUUACCAAACGCGUUUUUUUGUUCAGAAAUUGUUCCCUGGAACAGAAACACUUUUUUCUAUUUCUGUUUCCUGGAACAAUUUUUAAACAGAAACGUUACCAAACGCACCAUAUUUUUCCAUCUUUAGUUGGCAUUAUUACCACUGGCAUACUUUUUUUUCUUCCCCAACUGGAAAGUCCCCCGUUCAUACCUGAUCUAGUUAAGGGAAAAACAAAUACCUUAGCAUGUGUUCUCUUCUUACUUGUAACCAUCUGUAAUCUGACGACAACCGCAACUCACUUCUUACAUUAAGCACAUCAUAUAAAGAAAAAAGAAAGAGAAGAGAAUUCCAUGUAUUAAUAGUAACUACUGUUGAUACUCCAUUCCAUCAUCCAUGUAAACUCCAUUCUUUUACAUGCAUCAUCCAUCAACGUCUAAGACACUUAUUGUUUGAACCAGCACAUAGACACAUGCAUUCUCAAACGUAUCGUACAUAAUUGGCUAAUGGGCACACUGAAUAGCACAUACUAUAUAGCAUCUACUCUUGCAUGGACUCACGGCUCAAUGCAUAUCUUCUAGGACAAACGCACCUUAGCAGUAGACGGCCACUAAACCAUAGGAUCCUCCCUCUUCCCUUUCUUGAAGGCAUUGUAGACAAAUUUCAGGACUUUGUAGACUAACUUCAGGACUUUGAGUACCAAUUUCCAGAUUAAGCGGAUUAUAUGGCACAGGAAAAUAAGAGACAUCAAUCCUGUCCAUGCUUGCACCGCAGUUACAACUACUGGAUCCUUAAUCGGAUUAAGUGGAUCAUACAUUUUGUCCUCCUCCGGUGAGGCAAGUACCAUGAGGAUCGAAUAGCUCAACGCUGUGCAGGUUAUCGCAACCCACAUAGUUAACAUUACAAUCCAAGUGGUGAUCCGACGCCGCUUUAAGGGAAGACCACUUAUGAGAAGCAUAAUGGUGCUAAGCGAUGCGAUGAAGCUUAUCGUGUUAAAUGCUUUGAACGACUUGUAACAGUUCUUGAAGCCCUUCAUUUUCUUUGCAGAUUCGUUAGGUGGGUCCUUACCCGCUUCGUAAGCCAUGGUAGCGACCAAUAUCGCUACCACCAUUAGCGCCUCAUGCAUACCCUUUUGCCACUUUCUUUUCCUUUCCCUCUUGAUCUCUUUUUCCGUAAGUGUAUGGAAGUUGGUGACCGUGUUAUUCGGAACGACUGUUCGUUUGGAUGGGUCGUGAUUCUCUGAAGUUUGAGGAACAUAAUUCACUAUCUCGAAGGCUCUUUCCAUGCUUUGGCCUUGUGCCAGUAGGCCUAGUGCUGUGAACCCUUUGGAGUUCGUAAUGUUUGGGUCUACUCCUUUAUUAGUGAGGAAGAUUAUAGUCUGCAGAGAAAUAACAACAAAGUGUACCAAUUGAUGUUAAGUUUGAACUAGACAAGCCCAUGUUAUAUACUUUUGAGAACUAAGUUUGCUUCUAGUGUUUUUAAGUCCUCAAAUGUUUGUGACUAUUAUGUGAUGCCUUCAAAAGGGAAUCUCAUUUCUUGUUGAAUUUCUUCUGCUCCUCUGUUUAUAUCUUCCUUCUAAUCUAGAUGAAAUUAGUGUGAAAAUAAUGUGAAGCGUAAAGUCGUAGUUAAUUAUAUGGAUGAAUGACUUCUUUCCCAAAUACCAAGCCUGUGAUGAUUUAGGGAAAAGUGCUAAAAAGUCUUAAAUCUAUGGCACUGGUGCAAAUUAAAUCAUAAACUUUUUAAUUGUGCCAAUUUAAUCCUAAACCUUACGACCUAAUGUUAAUUCAGUCCUUUCGGCUAAUUUUAACUAGAUAUUGCUAACUUGGACCCCAUUUGGUUUAUGUGACACAAUUGACACUGAUGUGGAUAAUUUUUAAUAAUUUUUAAUUUUUUUCCUUUUUACUUUCUUUUUUUGGUGACCAGUCAUUGACCACUGGCCAUGGCCAAGUGGGCUAGACUUGCUUGGGUGAGGGGUCUUCGUCGCCCACCAAAAGCGAGGUUGAUCCCCAUUAAGGGCUCCCCUCCUUAGGCUAGGUCGGCCUUGCUAGACCUAGCCCGGGCAAGCCUAGCCUUGGCCCAUGCUAAGGAAGCCUUCGCCUUGUUGAGGUCACCCUCACUCGACUAGGCCUUGCCUUUGGUGGGCAACAACAACCCUCAUCCAGGCGAGACCAGCUUGUCUAACCAUGGGCAGUGGUCAGUAAAAGGAAGAAAGUGAAAAAGGAAAGAAAAAAUAAAAAUAAAAAAUGAAAAAAUAUAUUAUUAAAAAUUAUCCAUAUCAGCAUCGCCGUGCAAUAUAGGAUAGUCGACAUUAAUAUCAGUAAUAUUUGGCCAAAAUUAGCCUGAUGGAUUGAAUUGAUACUAAAUCAAAAGGUUUAAGACUAAAUUGACAUAAUUAAAAGGUUUAUAAUUUUUUUAACACUUUUCCUUGUUGAUUAAUAAAUGGAUUUCUUUUAACUUGCGAUUAUUUCUAGAACAUUCAUUUUUCCUAAAACGGCCUUUUUUGUUGAUAAGCUCAAUGAAUUUGACUAAUGUAGAGGCUUAGUUGUAUGAACAUACCUCAGUUUGUCCAUCUGUAGCAGCCAAAUGUAAAAUUGUGUUGCCAUCUUCGUCCUUCAAGUUGAUGAACUGAUCAUUGCCCAACAUACCUAUCAAAAGCUUCAAAGCUUCCAGUUUGUUGUGCUUCACCCAUAAAUGGAGAAUCGUUUGGCCAUGUUCGACGACACUGUGAGCUGCAUCAUGCCUUGCUCGAACCAAGCAUUCCAACACAUCCACACGCCCUUUCAUUGCUGCGACAUGAAGAGGGUUUCUUUUGUAUUUGUCACGGACUAAACAUAUUUCGGGGUCGACUCUUACCAAGCUUUUCACUAUGUGAAGGUACCCAUUUGCUGCUGCGAGAUGAAGAGGCGUUGAACUCUGAGAAUCUUGCUCUCUUGCCAGCUCAGUCUUUCGAGCUAGGAUCUCUUCCACGAAAUCCAAGUGUCCGAGCAUGGCUGCGAUGUGCAAAGGAGUCUCAUUGCGAUUCCCAGUCAUGAUUCUAUCAAGAAGCAACUUAUCUCUUUCGAGUAACUCAAGCAAAGAAUGCACAUUUCCUUUCAUGGCGGCUUCAUAGAGCUCGGACUCCAUGUUUGGCUCUCUAAAAUGGGAGUUUCGGGAUACUCACUACUCCAGUUGGGACUUGAAUAUAUAUUGUCAAGGUAGGCUUGACGAGGACCAAAAAAUGAUUGGUGGAUUAUUUGACAUCUCUUAUCCGCAAGUACGUGGCUCAAGUUUCCGUUGGCCGAACGUUGUUGCGCCUCGGAUGUUUCUGUACACGCUAGGAGAGACGUUAGCUCACGGCUCUAUAGACCUAAUCAAACUCCGCCACGCCAACCGUUCGUACACAUUUGGAGUCUACUUACAACUGGUUCUUGGGGGUAGUAAGAAGGAACUCCAAAGUUAACCAUUAGGAUGGAUGGGUGACCUUUUGAAAAUGUAAAUGCCCAUACAUUAAAGGACAAAACUGUGAGAUUCACUAUGGUACAGGCCAAAAAAAAAAAAAAAACUUCAAAUGAGUUAAUUCAAGAAUGUUAUAAUAUAGGAUCGGGGUGGAACUUUCUCCACUAGGUGUAUGGUCCAGAGAUGAACCACACGGAAGUUGGUGGGCCCAUAAUGACUCAGUUUGAUGAGGGUGGGGAAUAGUCAUCAGAACAGAGGGCUUAGAUAAUGAGCGGCUUUUGGUAGGUUUUUAGGAUGGCAAAGGAGGCGAAAAUGAACCGGAAUAUGCAUUGAACAAAGGAAAGCAAUUUUGGGAAGUAUGUGCGCGUGUGUGAAAUUUGGAGUGGGGCGAGUCAAAACAGACAAUAACUUAGAGUGAUUUAAUUUAAGGAUGUCUCACUACCUACUCAAACUUGGCAUCGUAGAUAGUUUAUAGACACUUGGAAUCUACUUGCAACUCUUUCUAAAAGGAAUCAGGAAGAAAUCCGCAAUCUCUUCUUCAAAUGUGUGUUUUGGCAAAUCGAAAUUUAAUUUGUUUGGAAGUCCCUGCCGUAGAUUGCGCCAAGAAAGCUCCCAUUCUCCUUUUGAUUGUCGCUUCUCUCUUAACGCUUCAUUGUGACAAUGUUCUUCCCCUAAACCAUGACCAGACAUUUUUCUCAACUGCUACAAUGAAAUUAUAGCCUUCCCCAUAGAAAUCUGAGAAAUGCAACUCCCUCAUUUAAAAAAGUUUUAGACAUGAUGGAAAUACAAGAAAAGCAACUUUCUCUUUAGAAAAGUUUCUUAAAAAAGUUUUAGACAAGAUGGAAAUCUGAGAAAAGCGAUUCUCUUUUAGAAACGUUUUUGGCGUGAAGUGGGCAACCCUGAGUUACUCAUUACAGUUACAUGAUAUUGCCAAGAAUCAAUCAUCUGCAUUUGGCAUCACCCUUGGCUGGUUCAUCCAAAGGUCCUAGGGAUGUGAGGUAAGGGAAAGAUUCUUCAAGUUCGUGUGAGGAUACAAUCUAUAUAUAAACAGAGGCCAUUCCUUCAUAUGUUCGGUGGAUUAAUUCACAGCUACGGCUUUUGCCCAUGUAUGUCUUUUUGCAUGUUUGCGCACGUGUGUUAAAACUUUAGAUUGGCCGAUUUGAGCCGCAAGAAUGUUGAGCAUAAGAAUCUCCUAUAUCAGAAUCGAAGAUUUUUGAAGAAUUAUGUGCUGAUAUUGCUCUUAAUGGAUAAACAUAGUGUCAUAGUCCCCGAGGCAUUCUCACAAUGUUAGACAUGAUUGGCUAAGAUUGAUUAUCAUGAUUUUCUACGGUACUUUCGCCAAGCGAUCAAAGAUAUAUCAACAUCAUUCCUUUCCUUUUUCUUUCACAUAUGGACAUGUAUGAAUGCGUGACGUCAACCUACAUAGACCAAAUGCAAGUAGCGUCGCCACCAAAUGGUCCAUGGAUGUAUCCUCCAAUUCCCUAAACAUUGCAUGUCAACUGCAAAAGCUUCUGCUAUAGUCUUUUUUGGGCCUGCACAUUCCUAAUUCUUCAGGAGGAUUAUUCAACUUUAUGGAUUGUGUUAGGAAAAUGCUUAGAGUGCAUUUACGAUUAGUCUUCUAACCAAAAUAGCCGCAAAGUUUUGAGCAUAUGAAUCUACUAUAUCAUAAUUGAAGUUUUUUGAAGAAUUAUGUAUUGAUAUUGAUACUAGACUCUUAAUAGAUAGAUGUAGUGUCAUAGUCACCGAGGCCUUUACCAAUGUUAGACAUGAUUAGCUAAGAUCAAUGGCCAUAAUUGUCUAUGGUACUUUUGCUGAGCAAUUAGAGAUAUAUCAACAUCAUUCCUCUCCUUUUCUUUCGAAUAUGGACAUGUGUGAACACGUGACCUUAACCUACAUAGACCAAAUGCAAAUAGUGUCACCAUAAAAUGGGUCCCAACUGUAUCCCUCGAUUCCCUAAAUGCAACAUGUCAACUUCAAAGACUUCUAUUAUAGUCUUAUUUGAGCCUGCGCAUUAACUGAUUCUUCAGGGGGAUUAUUCAACUUUAUGGAUUGUGUUAGGAAGAUGCUUGAGUGCAUUUACGAUUAGUCUUCCUACCAAAAUAGUCGCAAAAUUUUGAGCAUAUGAAUCUACUAUAUCAUAAUUGAAGUUUUUUGAAGAAAUACGUAUUGAUAUUAGACUCUUAAUAGAUAGGUGUAGUGUCAUAGUCCCAGAGGCCUUCACACAAUGUUAGACAUGAUUAGCUAAGAUCAAUCACCAUAAUUUUUUACAGUACUUUCACUGAGCAAUUAGAGAUAUAUCAACAUCAUGCUUUUCCUUUCUUUUCGAAUAUGGAUAGUGUGAACGCGUGACUUUGAGCUACAUAGACUAAAUGCAAACAAUGUCACCACAAAAUGGUCCCCAACUGUAUCCUCCAAUUCUCUAAAAGCAGCAUGUCAGCUUCAUAGACUUCUGUUAUAGUCUUGAGCCUGCACAGAGCCUGCACAUUACCUGAUUCUUAUGGAGGGAUUAUUCAACUUAAUGAAUUGUGUUAGGAAGAUGCUUGAAAUGAGCAAUAGUGUCAUAAGUGCAUUCCCAAUUAGUCUUCCUACCAAAAUAGGCGGAAAUGAUUUAGAGCCAGCAAAAAAAUAAAGCGUAAUGAGCGAUCAGCAGUCUUGCUAUAAAUUUGAUUGCCCAUUUCUGUUCAAAAACCAAUUAACAUUUGAAGGUAUGAUCAACAAAAAGAAAUGAUCAUAAAUUGGAGAAGGGAAAGAUAAUUUAUGAAAGCAAGAUAAUAUCGAGAUGUCGUCACUAAUAAUUAUCUAGCAUUAUCAUAAUUUUCUUCAAUUAGUCAAAAUUGGUAGUUGACUAUUUUGUAUUGUUCCAGUAUUAGCAAUAACUUCCUUUCAUAUUUCAUAACUCGACGAUGGAAUUACUAAAUAAUCAUUCUAGGGGUAAUUUUCCUCAACUAGUCGUAACUUGUAGUUCCUGUCUUUAAUAAUUAUCCCUCCAGCACCUGUAAUUUGCCCGAAAUCAUCACGAUCUCAAUCCCAUGUCCAAUUAGUACUUUCCCUUUUGUGUGGUAAUUGAGCUAAUACAGUUUGAAACAAAAAUUUCUCAUCACAUGGCAAUAAACUAUUGGGAUAAUAAUAUACUUGAAAUUGUCAUAAGAGGCACAACUUAUAAUCAAUUAUUGACAUUGAUAAUCGUAAAUCAGUCGCAAGUCCGUGUAGAUGGUAUUGAGUUCUCUACUUUUAAAGAUAGUAAAUUACCUCAAGUUAUCAUAAGCGCAAAAAGAUCAUAAUGAUCAUAAUUUUUAUUGAGAAAUCUAAGCAACCUAAAGUUUACUUUCUAUUUUCCUAUUCUUAGUAAAUCUACAUAGAUAAUCCUUCAAAUUCGUAAUCAAUGGAUCCUGUCCACAAGUAAUAAUCCUUUUGACCAUCGUGAUUUUCCGUAAUUUAUCGUAAAAUUUUCAAUUCCACUGGAACAAACUUCCUUAUUACCAAGGUGUUUAGGUUACACUAAAUAAAAUUGAUCCCAUGGCUGAAAUUUUUGGACUUUAAAUCCAAUGUCAUUCUUUUUUUAAACUGCCACAAAUCAAAUCAAAUAAAACAGCUAUCCAUUAUACAUCUAAACUCCAAUAUUUUCCAUAAAUUCAACACAAUUAAAAUAUUUAUUGUUUUCACAAGCAUAUACCAUACUUUAAUGCAUCGUAGCUAAGUUGUCUAAUCGGCACACUGAACAACGCAUGUACUGUAUAGCAUCUCCUCUUUUAUGGCCUUAGGUCUCAGGGUGCUUCUUCUGUAACAAACACAUUUGCAGCUAUAUACAGCCACUAAACCGUAUGAUCCUCUGGCCUGCGUUCUGUCGAGGCUUUGCGGACGAAUUCCAGAACCUUGCAUACCAAUUUCAGGAUUAAACGAAGCGACACAAAAAAAGAAGAGCCAUCAACCCAACCCAUGCUAGCACCACAAGUCCAAUUGCACCAAUGAAAGUUUUCAGUUCGCUUGCUGGUGUGAAGACAAAUACAGAGAUGGCAUAAGUUGCCGUUGCGAAGCUUAUCGCAACCCACAUAUUCAGCAUUACAAUCCUCGUGGUGAUCCAAUGCCGCUUUAGAGGAAGACCACUUAUGAAAAGCACAGGGAUACUAAGCGAUGCAAUGAAGCUGUUACAUGUUGAGAAAUUCCUGCACGCAUUCAGGAACUUAUCUGUCAUUACAGAUUCACUCGCAGUAUGUGCUGCAGUCGUUUCAUCACUCAUAAAAUCUCCUUCCCAAAGGCCACCAGGUGGGGUAAUGCCGGCUUGGAAUGUCAUGGUAGCUAGCAAUGUCACUAUCACCAUGAGCGUCUUAUGCAUAUUGCCUUCUCACUUUCUCUUUUUUUCCUCACUUUCGGUGAAUGCUGUGAAACCUCUGGAGUUCUUAAUGUUUGUUUAACUCCUUUAUUAGUCAAGAAGAGCAUGGUCUGUAGAGAAGUAACAUCAAAAUGUAUCAGUUGGGGUCAAAUUUGAUCUAGACAACCCCAUGUUACGUACUUUUCAGGAUUAACUUUGCUACUAGCGUUUUUCAGUCUUGUGACUAUUAUUUGAUGCCUUCAGAAGGGAUACUCGUCCCUUGAUGAAACUCUUUUGCUAUCUCCGAUUUUAUGUUCCUUCUGAUCUAGAUAAAAUAAGUAUCAAAAUUGUGUUAAGUGUAAAGUUGUAGUUUAUUAUAUGGACCAACGACUUCCUUCUUAUUUAAAUAUCAAAACCUAUAAUGAUUUACAAAUGGAUAUCUUUUAGUUUCCGAAUAUUUCUAGGACACUAAUGUAUCUUAGAAUCGCCUUUUAUUUAUUUAUUAAUAAGCUCACUGAAUUUGACUAGUGCAGAGGCUUGAUUGUACAAACAUACCUUAGUUUCUCUAUUUGCAGUAGCCAAAUGCAAAAUCAUGUAGUCAUAUCUGUCUUUCGAGUUGAUGAACUGAUCAUCGCCCAAGAUAACUAUCAAAAGUUUCAAAGCUUCUAGUCUAUUAUGCGUCACGCAUAAAUGCAGGAUUAUCUGGCCAUGUUCAACAACACUAUGAGCUGCAUUAGGUCUCGCUCGGACCAAGUAUUCCAACAUAUCCAUAUGGCCUUUCAUGGUUGCGAGAGGGUUUCUUUCGUAUUUGUUAUGGAUAAUACACAUAUCAAGGUUGACUCUUAACAAGCAUGCCACGAUGUUAGGGGAUCUUUUUGCUUCUCGAGAUGAAGAGGGAAUCUUGCUCUCUUGCCAGCUCGGCCUGAGUUAGGAUCUCUUCCACGAAAUCCAAGCGUCCAAGCGUGGUUGCAAUGUGUAGAGGAUGCUCGUUAUGUUUUUGGUCAUGAUUCUAUCAAGAAGUAGUUUAUCUUUUGUGAGCAACUCAAGCAGAGAAUGCACAUUCCCUUUCACAGCAGCUACGUAGAGCUCGGACUCUAUGUUUGGAUCUCUAAAAAGAGAUUUUCAGAGUACUCUUUCCUCCAUUUUGAAACUUGAAUAAAUACUAUCAUAAACAUGUCAGCUUACGCUAGGUUUGACGGAGACCGAAAAAUGAUCGGCAGAUCUUUCUCGUCAGCAAGUAUUUGGCGCAAUUCCGGCAAAUGUCCUAGAAUGUCAGAAAAGGUAAUGAUUCUUGGAGACUUAGCGUGGGUAUGUGAGGAUUCGGCUGUCGGCCAUUUUCUGCCGAGUCUCGUCUCGUCUCCAUUGGUCCUAUACAGGUCGAGUUCGCACACGUAAGUUGUCCCGUUGGAGCCAUGACGUCCUUUGAUGAUGUAAAGCAGCCACGCUCUAUUCAUGCAAAUUGUAAUGAAUUACUUUGAAAGGACAUGAAUUUCAUCGGUAUGGGAAUUAUAAUUUUUGCACUAACGCAUGCUCAAUCCUAACUAGGCACUUCAGAAAAAUUAUUCUGCCAUAUGGGUGUGUUAGGACAGAAACAAAUGAGCACUAGUAUCAUUGGCACAUUAGGAAUCGGCCUUCUCAGUAUGGUAAUUCCAAGUGAUUUCGUGCUUGCCAAUAGUUUAAGCUCAAUAUGGAGGCUAUGCCUCCAAAAUUCCGCCAAAGAGAGUUGAUUUUUCUCUUUCUUCCAAUUAAAAAAAUUCAAAGAUUGAAGGACCAUAAGUUUCUGAUUGAUUUGAUGAGUCUCAAAAGGCCUAAAUGGUGCUAGGCAGGGAAAUGAAUCACAUAGAAUGUAUACCCUUGCCACCACAAAAAUGGUUUUCUUAUUUAGAUGAAGAAGCCUAGGAUGAUUAAACGCGUGACCUUGACCUACAUAAAUCAAAUGCGAACAGUGUCACCACCAAAUGGUCCACAGGUGUAUUCCCCAAUUCCCUAAACGUGGCAUGUCAACUUUAAAAGCUUAUGCUAUAGUCUUAUUUGGACCUGCAUGUUACCUAAUUCUUCAAUAGGAUUAUUCAACUUUAUGGAUUUUGUUAGGAAGAUGCUUGAGUGCAUUUACAAUUAGUCUUCCUACCAAAAUAGUCCCAAAAUGUUGAGCAUAUGAAUCUACUAUAUCAUAAUUGAAGUUUUUUUAAGAAUUAUGUAUUGAUAUUAGGCUCUUAAUAGAUAGACGUAGUGUCAUAGUCCCCGGGGCCUUCACACAAUGUUAGACAUGAUUAGCUAAGAUAAAUGACCAUAAUUUUCUAUGGUACUUUUGCUGAGCAAUCGACAUCAUGCUUUUCCUUUCUUUUCGAAUAGGGACAUGUGUGGUGGACACGUGACCUUGACCUACAUAGACUAAAUGCAAACAGUGUCAGCACAAAUGCACACAAUGCUAGACAUGAUGAGCUAAGAUCAAUGACCAUAAUUUUCUACGGUACUUUUGCUGAGCAAUCAGAGAUAUAUCAACAUCAUACUUUUCCUUUCUUUUGGAAUAGGGACGUGUGGACACGUGACCUUGACCUACAUAGACUAAAUGCAAAUAGUUUUGGCACAAAGCACUCGAUGUUAGACAUGAUUAGCCCACAUCAAUUAUCAUAAUUUUCUGUGGUACUUUUGACGAGCAAUAAGAGAUGCAUCAACAUUAUGCUUUUCCUUUCUUUUCGAAGAGGGACAUGUGUGAAUGCAUGACCUUGAGCUCCAUAGACUAAAUGCAAACAGUGUCACCACAAAAUGGUCCCCAGCUGUAAUCCCCCGAUUCUCUCAAAGCAGCAUGUCAACUUCAAAGAUUUCUAUUGGUCUUAUUUGAGCCUGCACAUUGCCUGAUUCUUCAGGAGCGUUAUUUCACUUUAUGAAUUGUGUUAGGAAGAUGCUUGAAAUGAGCAAGUGUCAUACGUGCAUAUGUGAUUAGUCUUCCUACCAAAAUAGUCGCAAAUGAUUUAAAUCUAGCAAAAAGAUUAAGCACAAGGAGCAAUCAGCAGCAGUCUUGCUAUACAUUUGGUUCCCCAUCUCUGUUCGAAAACCAAUUGACAUUUGAAGAUAUGAUCAGCAAAAAGAAAUGAUCAUAAAUUGGAGAAGGAAAAGCCAAAAUUGUCCGAAUCAAUUUGACCUGUUGAGUUGCUUCCCAGAAAGAAAGAGCAAGAAAACCAAGUUAUGUGACUUUAUUAAGCAGGUUACGUACUCGGAUCACUUGCUCCAAUGCAUUCAGAAACAUGGCAAAGAAUUCUUGAAAUUGUUUUGAUUCUUCCUCACGUGACAUGGGUAAAAAAUUUGUCGGCACAUAAUCUCUAUAUUGACUUUCAUUUUUUUUUUUAACAGCGGAGGGGGUGAACGGUGUACAUUAGGAGGACAGAGAGCCGCCGCGCCCAUCGCGGGGAUGUAUUAGGGCGAGUUUGGUUCGGCCAUCCCAUGAUGUGGAUUUUGAUCCUAUCCAUUGUGUCAAUGGCUGCAGUGAGGACUUCUCGUAUGUCGCUGUGUUCACAGCAGUGUGUUGGCCCUUCAGAGCACGCAUUCGAAGGCAUUAGGUUUUUGCCAGGACUAGGAUACCUGGAGUGCAAAACUUGGCACAUGGGAUACUUAAAUGCUAAAAUCGAAGCCAAAUGGAUCAAUUAAAUGCUCACAGGCCCUCUCCAACUGUUAGACGGGGUUGCCUACCCCUGGCCAAGGCCAGACGACCCCAGCCGACCCUUCCCCCGCUGUCACCAACCCUUUGCCUCCUGCAAUCUCCAUCUUCGUUCCUUUUUUUUUUUUUUUUUUUUGUCAUUUUUCCUCUUAGUUGAAUUUUAAUAUAAAUAUUAAUUAAACUAAAAUAUUUAUAUCAAUUUAAUGAAAAAGAAAAGAAAAAGGAUGAGGAGGGGGAAGAGGCAAAAGGCGAGGGCUAAGCCCUUGCAGUUGCCUCCCCACCAUCGCCACCCCUUCUCAGGGACGGCGAGAAGGCAACGGCGAGGGCUCAACCCUUGCCAUUAUGCAACUUUUUAUUCUUUUUAAUAUUCGGUUUUAAAUUUAAGUUAAUUAAUAUUUAUAUUAAAAUUCAAAUCCACGUCAAAACAAUAUUGUUUGGGCCUUUUUUUGCUGAGUCAACUUCCGACGAGUCACGUAGGCAAGCAAUAAUAAUACAAAAUUACCACGUAGAAUUUUCAGCGGAGUUCGUGGGACUUGGCACUCAAGUGUCCUAUUUUAAAAAUAAAAAUAAAAGUAGCACUUAAAUGUCAUUUUCUUAACUUUUAACACUUAAGUGUCAUUGUGUCAAGUUUUAGCACUUGGCUAUUCUUUUGCCGGCUUUUACCUUCUAAUCUUGAGACCUCAAGCAGGUGCCCAGCUGCAUUGGCCUCCUCGUGUAUGCGUCCAAGCCCAGCGCAAUCGGCUGCUGAUCCUUUGGUCACGGAGAAGAUGCAGAUGAAGCCCUGCGUGGGGGAGCAAGUCAGAUCAAUUUCUGCAGGAAUAUCAGCUAAUAAAAUGUCGUCCUAUAAUUUUGAUGAUUGCCUCUUCAGUUCGUUUGAUGUCCAUUACCGAACCGUGUUUCUCCGGGUUCGGGGACUAGUUCUAUUGAAACCUCCGCAAUUCCCGGUAAAAACCAUAAUCUUAUUCCAUGAACCAUUUGGACGGUCAUUGUCUGGCUAUGUUGCUUCCCCAAACUAAUUUCUUUUCCUGUGGGGAUGUUCUUGCCCUUAUUGAAAAAAAGACGGGAAGUAAUCACUCAACAUGCCAAGAAUUAGAAGCCAUAUUCACAUGAAGGAGCUAUAAUCAUAAACAGAUCUCAAGAGCUUGGCGAAGAAUCUCAAUGGGAGAGAGAAUUUACCGAUGUCACGAUCUGUUCGGUUUGGAUGUUGACAAAGACGAGAGGAAUUCCCGAGGAAACCGAGACAGAGAACCAGGCCAUGGACUGGGUUGUAGUGACCUCGACGGUGUGUUCACUUGGCAGAGGCAUAAACAGAAUGGAGCUAACUACCGGAGACCGUUGAUCAGGCAAGUAGGUCCCGACUUGGUAUGCAAGAGCUGUCGGCUAAGAAAAAGAAAAGAAAAUAGCAAAAGGAAACUUGAACUUUGCUGAUCGGUCGGCCAAAUAUUGAUGCUGUACAUGGAUUUCUUAUUCCAUGUUGAAGUCAGCCACAUUGUUCUUUCUUUUUUGGUAUAUAUUGUGUUCUUGCUCUUUGGUAUUUAGUGAUUCAUUGAAGCGUCAUCCGAGUGCUUGAUAGUGGAUAUUCUUCAUGGGCUUUCUUCGUGAAUUCCGUCCCAUGAAGUUAGUGUUCAAGCUGUCAAAAUCUUGUGGUAAGACUUCUUAAUAUUUUUUUUUGGGUGAAAUUGAGAGAUUAUUUUGUGAGUUAUAGUGGGGUAAACACUGUGGGACUUAUUAGAUGUAAUUAGGGAUGGGAAACAUGAACAGUGUCUAAGGGUGUGAAUGAUAAUCAUCUUGGUACAAAAUCGAUUUCCGAAAGAGAAUUAGAUUUUUAUAUUUCUAUGUUUGGAUUAGUUUUUAAGCAAAAAUACGCGUUUGAUAAUAACAUAGAAUUUCUAUUCUCGAAAUAGAAAUUCGUUUGAUAAUAUCAUGGAAUUUCUAUUCCCGGAAUAGAAAUUCCUUUGAUAAUAAUACAAAAUUUCUCUCCCAAACGGUGGACGGCAAUUGAUGGACAGUAACAAGCAGCCAAUGGUGAGGGAUGGUGAUUGGCAGCGAUAGACGACAACUAGUGGAUGGCAAUCGGUGGUGGUGGCGGCAGAUGACAGCGGCAAGCAACGGCGGCAAUAGAUGGCGGGCGGCGGUCGACGGACGGUGACCAGGUGUACGGUAGAUGACAGUCGGCAGCAAUGGAUGGGCGGCCGGCUAGUAGUGAGGACAAAUGAUGAAAAGGGUUUUGAUUUCUCAUUUCUGUUCCAGAAAUAGAUAAGUGAAAAAAAAAUUAUGUUUAAUUUCUGUUCCAAAUCUAAUUCUGGAGUAAAAAAUCUAUUCAAGAAAUAGAAAAAUGAAAUAAUUUUACCAAACGGAUUUCUGUUAUAGAAACAAGUUUGAAGCAUAAAAAUAGUUCUAAAAUAAAAAUAUAAUGAUUAUCAUGUGCGCCAUAAGUGACUCGAGUAUGGUUAUAAUUUCCAUCAUGUCGCUUGACUUAUAGUUGAAUUUUUUACUGUUCUUCCUAUGGACAUAUUUCACUCAACCGAAUAAUAUAAAUCUGAUAUUUGAUUAAUUUUUUUGUUUGGCUAUUUUAUUGCUCAACCACUUAUUUCGCAACAAUUAGUAUCGGUGUAAGGUUGACUAGAUUAGAACAAAUUGAUGGCAACAAAAAAAGGAAAAGUAAACAACUGACAUAUUUGAUGGGAUUAAUUUUGGUCUCUGGAAGAUCUAGAUUGAUGAUUACUUGCAUCAGAGGAAUCUAUACUUACCCCUAUUUGGGAAGAAAUUAGAGUAGAUGAAACAAGCUAAAUGGGAAUUGUUGGAUAGACUAGUGUUAAGUGUUAUUCAGCUGAUAUUGGCUUGUAAUGUUGCGUUUGAUAAUGUGAAAGAGAAGAUCACAAUGGGAUUGAUGAAUGUUUUGUCGGAUAUGUACGAUAAGCCUUUUGCAUAAUCGGAGCUCCUGUUACAGUCUUAUUUGAGCCAGCACAUUACCUAAGUCUUCAGCAAGAUUAUUCAAUUUUUUGGAUUGUUCCUGGCAUUCGUGAAUAGUCCAGCAUGUCAUACGAAAAAUCUAGUCUUGGGAGGUAGGUAAAGCUAGUGGUUCUAGCUUAGUUUGUGGCUGUUAGGAAUUGUGGUAAAAAUAUUCUGAGGCAGUGGAUGUGUUCUAUAAAUAGAGCUUCGAAUUUGUUAUUAUUCAUUUAUUUGUGAAUUUGAAUCAGAUUAAUUUACAUUAAAAAAAUUAAUCCACUAAUUAUUAAUAUUCUUCAUUAUUUCAAUUUGACAAAUUCAACUCCAUUUCGAUAAAUCCAUAAAACUUGAAAAGAAAAAAAAAGUAAUUCACAUUUUAGACUUGCGUGUCAAACGUGUUGAAAGAAAAAAGAAAAAACUUGAGGAUAAAUUUUGUAUUAUGGAAAGUGAGAGUUAAAAGAGAAAAUAAUAAAAUACUAAGUUUUUCUUCCUUCCUAAUUUGUUAUUUUUAUUAUUGAUUUUUAUUUUUUUCACACACACACAUAUUGGCCAUUUCAUUUAUUGAAAAUUUUUAAAAUUGAUAUUGCAUGUCAAAAUCAUGUGUCGGAAACUCAUACAUUAGAAUUUUGAUUUGAGUGUUGAAAAAGUUGAUCAGGUGUCGAAUUUUCUAAUAGGUGUUGACCGAGUGUCGGAGAGUGUUAGACAUGUGUCGAAAUGUUGGACACGUGUCGAAAUGUUUGACACAAUACGAAAGUUCUUAGAGAAUGUCGAUACUUCCUAAGUUAUAUGAUUCUCCCCUGCAUUCAGAAAACAUUGCAAAGAACUCAAAGUCCCGAUUCUCCCUCUCAUGACCGAUGUAAAAAUUUCAUUGGCACAUAAUCUUUUUAUUUUGACAUUCAAUCUUUUAAUGACAGAUGUUGCGCGCAAUGUACAUUAAAAGGACGGAGAGCCGCCGCGCCCGUUGCUGGGGACGUAGUAGGGCGCGUUUGGUUGGGCCACCCCAUGAUGUGGAUUGUGAUCCUGUCCAUCAUUCCGAUGGCUGCGGUGAGGACUUCUCUCAUGUCACUCUGCUCACAGCAGCGUAUUAGCCCUUCAGAGCAAACAUUUGAAGGCAUUAAACUUUUUUCCCCUUCUAAUCUGGAGACCGCUAGCAGGUGCCCAGCUGCAUUGGCCUCUUCUUGGGUGGAUCCGAAGCCCGGCACGAUCAGCUGCUGAUCUUUUGGUCACAAAGAAGAUGCAGAUGAAGCCCUGCGCAGGAGAACAAGUCAGAUCAAUUUCUGCAACAAUAUCAACUAAUAAAAAAGUGGUUCUAUCAUUGUGAUGAUUUCCUCUUCGGUUCGUUUGAUGUCCAUUCCGAACCGGGUUUCUCCGGGUUCGGGGACUAGUUCAACUGAAAACAACCAUUGAGCGCUUGUGUUAGUGAUCGUUUCUCAACCAUGCUUUUGUUGACCACGAUUUUAAUUUACCAAUAUGAUGGUCCUUUUUAGGAUAGGUAUGAACAUAUUGCUCUGCCUCCGUUUCCUGAAAACAAGGAUAGAGGUGUCAAACUCAAGUUUCUGAUUGAACGAAAAAUCCAAUAUGUCGGUAUGUUUGGUUUCUAUGUGGAUGUCAAUCUUUCAUUUGCUUCGAACAUAGAGACAAGGAAAAUGCCUGCCCAUCACUCGUUCGACAGAAUGCUUUCAAAGAAGGCUCACUGCAUAUUCAUCCCGUUAUCAGGAGAUCUUAAAGCAUAUUGACUUAGCUUAAAUGACGUCGACCGAAUUUCGAGUUGUCGCGUAAGAGUUUCGUAUUUCCAUGUUUGCUGAAUCUGACUCUGUGUUGUUGGGUUUUUGCCCUGCAUUUUACGCGCCCCUUCGGUGUUGACCGUGGAGAUAACCGGGGAGGGAUGUCCGAGGGGGUGUUGACGCGCGCACAGAUCUUUAACUGCAGUUCCUGCAUAUCCAAUGCUACGUCUCUAUUGUCAUCAUUCAUAUAUUUCUCGAGACUGUAUAAAGGAUGUUUGAUGGAUGAUGUUGCUUGCUGUUGGUGACGCUCCGGCAAAGGUUAGGGUUAACGAUGGCAUGGCUUGGCUUAGUGAUAUAGGUCAACCUCAAAUAAGAUUAUUCGGCCGGUGACCGCAGAUGGACGAAUGGUAUGUUCAUACAUCUUGCAAAUCCUUGUGAAAGUAGAUUCCGAAGGUCCGACUGAAUUAAGUAAAUCUCUCGUCCUUUUAUUGGUCCUCCUUUUAUUUCUCUGUCGAUUUCCAUUGCUCCUGAUUUAAUUGUAAAAUUACGAUUCGCUUCCAUUGCAUCACCAAUUUCAAUAGAUGUGUCUCACCCAGCCCCAGCGAGGCCCGCCUGUCUACCGGUGAGGCUCGGCCUUGCCAGAUCGAGCAAGGCCAAGUCUCACCGGGGCUGGCUCGCCCAACCCCAGCGAGGCUUGCUUGGCCACCAGCGAGUUCGCCGGACCUUGCCUUGGCCCGGCGAGCCUCCAGCGAGCUCGCCGGACGGGCAGACGGCGACUGGCGGCGGCGGACAGCGACGGACGAUGGUGGAUGGCGGUCGCGGGAUGGCGGAAGGGAAGAAGAAGACUUUUACUAUUUUGAUUUUUUUUGAUUCCCAAACUGAGAAUCACAUAUUUUUUUAUUCUCAAUUCUUGGCCAAAACGGUUCCGGGAACAAAAAUUUUACCAAAUGCAAUUCUAGGAACAAAAAAUCAGAAUCAGGCAUUAUUUGUGUCAUUUAGUUCUAAACCUUUUGAUUUAGUGCCAAUUUAGUCAUUCUGAGAAAUUUUGGCUAGAUACUGCGAACGUAGAUGUUGGUUGGCUUACAUGGUACUGAUAUUAACAGAGAUAGUUUUUUUUAAUAAUUUUUAAAUAAUUUUUUGAUUUUUUUUCUUUCUUUUCUUCUUCAUUUUGCCGGCCACCGGCCACGUGCAAUGGUUGGGCCGGUUGGCCUUGCCUAGCCAUGGCAAGGCUAAGCCUUGGCGAGGGCUUCCCUAGCAUAGUCCAGGGUCGGCCUCAACUAGGCCAAAUUUGGCAAGGCUUGCCCGCUUGGCUAUUGCCCGUGGUUAGUCGUCGGCAAAAGGAAGAAAAAAGGAGAGACAAAAGAAAAAAAAAUUGGACAAAAUAAUAAAAAAUUAAAAAAUUAUUAGAAUAAUAUUUCAUGUUAGCAUCAGUGGUGCCACGUUAGUCAACUAGCGUCCAUGUUAGCAAUGUCCAACUAAAAUUUAUCGGAAAGACUGAAUUUGUGUCAAAUUAAAAGAUUUAGGAUUAAAUUGGCACUAAUGCAAUAGAUUUAUGACUAAAUUGACAUUAGUUUAAUGUGUUUAUGACUUUUUUGAAACUUUUCUCCUAUCAAUCAUAGAGUAUCCACAAUUCAAUUAUUACUUAUUUUAAUAAAUAGAACUUGAAAGAACCUUGCUAGUCGGAAUUUGAGAUUGACAAUUGCUUACCAACAAUGGCUAGAAAUGGAAAAGAAGAAAAGAAACUACCAUUGAUCAUGCAUGUUAGCGAUCAUUUCUAAACACUGAAUUUGUUUAUCAUAGUUGAAAAGCUCAUUUCAAAAACUUAAAUUGAUAGAUGGACAGAAAAGAAAAUGUAAAGUACAUAGAAAUAAAUUAGAGCAUAAUUUGGCUUUGGUAUUACAAUAAAUGAUUCAACUUAAAUGCUUGAACUGAUAAUAGAGGGAGAGGACAUGUAUAUAAAAUACAGAUAAACCGCACCAUCAAGCAAUAUGAAAUAUUUUAACAGUCAUACUUUAAAAAUAUUUGAGGUUGAAAGUUAACUAAUAAUUUGCUUCAUAUGUCUCAUAAUUAUAAGAAUCAUACAAGCUCCCAUCUGUGGGGGCCAAUGUAUAAUAGAAGCUUCUAAACAAAGGAGGCAUGACGGGAUAUCAUUAGCCACGAUUCUAGGGUCUGCUGCAAGAAAGAAAAAGGGACCGCAUGCCACGUGGUUACCAACAAAAAGAUAAUUUAUGAACUGUAAGAUCACUUUUGCAUUUGCUAAUACGUAAGAACUUAAAGGUAAUUUAAUGGCGUUGAAACUAAUUUUAUGAACACAAAAGGAAAUAUGGGUUUGCAUUGUACACAGUUGCAGAUAUCCAUAAAUAUUUAAUUUUCGGACUCUCCUUUAAUUGAUCAGGCUUGCUCAUGCAGUCAAACUCAACAUUCUCAACAAUUAGCAACUACGUUGGUUGAAAGACUAAGCGUAAAUGCACUUAUGACACCUUUGCUCAUUUCAAGCAUCUUCCUAGCAGAGUCCACCUGAGUUAAAUAAUCUUAGCUGAAGAAUAAGGUACUGCGCAUGCUCAAAUAAGAAUAUAAGAAGAGCUUUAGAAGUUCACAUGCCGUGUUUAGGAAAUUGGGGAUUCAUCUUGGGACCAUUCGGCGGGGACAUCGUAUUCAUUUGGCCUACGUAGGUAAAGUUCACGCUUUCAUAUAUGUUCAUAUUCGAAAGAAAAUGACAAAAAGGGUGUUUGAAAUAUCUGUGAUUGUUCGCGAAAUUACCUUAGAGAAUUUUGGUCUUUGAUUUUCGCCAAUCAUAUCUAAGAUUGCGUGUAAACAGUCCGGUCGCGGUUUGAGGGAAGAACAUCGUCGCACGGGUUACGAUUCCUCUGCCUUGGAAAGGUGCCUCAAGUGUAGAUUCGCCGCCUCAGCCCUUUUUGAGAAUUAACUAUAGUCGAAGCGAGCUUAUGACUUUCUCCAUGUCUGCUCAGAGGCAGCUCGUUUCGCAAGAGUUUCUUCGACCUAGAGCCAUUCUUCUCCUCUUUUGCUCCAACACCGGCUCCAACUCCUUCCCUUUCUUUGACGAGCGGAUCGGUCGCCCAUAACACUUGUACCUGCAUCAGAUUCAUCAUCUUGAAUGACACCAACCGGGACUUGGCGGGACUUGAGGUUGAGGACUGAGCAGUUCGGGGACAUGCCCAUCACGACCAGUGCCGGAGGAGGCGAAGGCUUGGCAGCCGGCACCGGCAGGUCGUCGGAGGCAGAAGGAUUGGGGCGAGUGAGGGGGCGGUGGCACUUGGAGAUGGAGGAAGACUCGUCGUCUCGUUUGGACGGCCCGAGUCUCGUGGGUGCGUGGGUUUUGAAAUAAUGGGUUGGACUAUAGUUUUUCUCAGUCCAUCCUAGCCCAUUUUAGGGGGUAAAAAAUAAAAUAAAACGAGUUACUGGUACCAAAUUGGGCUCAUUAAAUUUGACUCAUAAAAAUGCCGGGGGAGGCGAAGGCUUGGUUGCCGACAGGUUAUCAGAGGCGGAAGGAUUGGGGCGAGGGAGGAGGCGGCGGCACUUGGAGAUGGAGGAAGACUCAUUGUCUCGUCUGGACGGCCAGAGUCUCGUGGAUGUUUGGGUUUUGAAAUAAUGGGUUGGACUAUAUUUUUUCUCAAUCCAUUUUAGCCCAUUUUAGGGAAAAAGAAGAAGAAGAGUUACUCGUACCAAAUUGGACUCAUUAAAUUUGAGUCAUAAAAAUGACGGGAUCAUAUCAUUAGCCACGCGUCAAGAGUCUGCUGUGAGAAAAAAAGGGAUUGCAUCCCACGUGCCAAAUCGGCUGGUUACCAACACAAAGGUAAUUUAUGAAUUGUAAGAUCACUUUCGCAUUUACUAAUACUUAUGAACGUAAAGGUAAUUUAAUAACGUAGAAACUAAUUUCAUGAAUGCAAAACUAUGACUUACAAACAUCAUUUUGCAGUCAUGAUACAAUAAAGACGUUGCUACAGUUAGACCGCGCUAGCAAUUUAUUAAGAAUAAGUAUAAUUAAGAUCAUCCAAAAUUAGCACUCACCCUAUUUACUAAUCACAAGGGAAAUGACUACCUUAGAGGUGCAUUACAUCUUAAAGGGUAAAUUGCUACUUUUAAUUACUUACUAUAAGGCAUAUGAUUGUCUUAAGAGACGUUGCUACUUUGAAGAGUACUUACACUUAGUGAUUUCCUUAUAACAUAGCAAAUUAUCUCAAACCAUCGCAAGUGAUAAAACACUGGCUAAUUGACCUAAAGCUGUGAUAUAUUGGCUAAACUCCUCACAAUAAUAUUGCACUUAUUUUUCGUACCGUUUUAUUAAAACUAAUGACAUUUCUUUACACUUCGUAAGUUGGGGAUGUUGUCGUCAGUAAUUAUCCAUUGAUGAUUUUAAUUUUCUUAAUUAGUCGCAAUUGGUAGUUCAUUAUGGUUAGUAUUUUUCCAUCUUUAGUUGGCAUUAUGACCACUGGCAUACUUUUUUUUCUUCCCCAGCUGGAAAGUCCCCCGGUCGUACCUGAUCUAGUUAAGGGAAAAAACAAAUACCUUAGCAAGUGUUCUCUUCUUACUUGUAACCAUCUAUAAUCUGACUACAACCACAACUCACUCCUUACAUUAAGCACAUCAUAUAAAGAAAGAAGAAAGAGAAGAGAAUUCCAUGUAUUAAUAUUACCUACUGUUGAUACUCCAUUCCAUCAUCCAUGUAAACUCCAUUCUUUUACAUGCAUCAUCCAUCAACGUCUAAGACACUUAUCGUUUAAACCAGCACAUAGACACAUGCAUUCUCAAACGUAUCGUACAUAAUUGGCUAAUGGGCACACUGAAUAGCACAUAAUAUAUAGCAUCUUCUCUUGCAUGGACUCAUGGCUCAAUGCAUUUCUUCUAGGACAAACGCACUUUAGCAGUAGAAAGCCACUAAACCAUAGGAUCCUCCCUCUUCCCUUUAUUGAAGGCUUUGUAGACAAAUUUCAGGGCUUUGCAGACUAACUUCAGGACUUUGAGUACCAAUUUCCAGAUUAAGCGGAUUACAUGGCACAGGAAAAUAAGAGACAUCAACCAUGUCCAUGCUUGCACCGCAAUUACAACUACUGGAUCCUUAAUUGGAUUAAGCGGAUCAUACGUUUUGUCCUUCUCCGGUGAGGCGAAUACCAGGAGGAUUGAAUAACUCAAUCUGUGCAGGUUAUCGCAACCCACAUAGUUAGCAUUACAAUCCAAGUGGUGAUCCGACGCCGCUUUAAGGGAAGACCACUUAUGAGAAAUAUAAUGGUGCUAAGUGAUGCGAUGAAGCUUAUCGUGUUAGAUGCUUUGAAAAACUGGUAAUAGUCAUCGAAGCCGUUCAUUGCCUUUGCAGAUUCGUCAGGUGGGUCCUUACCCGCUUCGUAAGCUAUGGUAGCGACCAAUAUCGCCACAAUCAUUAGCGCCUCAUGCAUACCCUGUUGCCACUUUCUUUUCCUUUCCCUCUUGAUCUCUUUUUUUUCUAAGUGGAAGGAAGGUGGUGCCCAUGUUAUUCGGAAAGACUGUUCCUUUGUAUGGGUUGUGAUUCUCUGAAGUUUGAGGAACAGAAUUCACUAUCUCUAAGGCUCUUUCCAUGCUUUGGCCUUGUGCCAGUAGGCCUAGUGCUGUGAAACCUUUGUAGUUCGUUAUGUUUGGGUCUACUCCUUUAUUAGUAAGGAAGAUUAUAGUCUGCAGAGAAAUAACAACAGAAUGUACCAAUUGAUGUUAAGUUUGAACUAGACAAGCCCAUGUUAUAUACUUUUGAGACUAAGUUUGCCUCUAGUGUUUUUAAGUCCUCAAAUGUUUGUGACUAUUAUGUGAUGUCUUCAAAAGGGAAUCUCAUUUCUUGUUGAAUUUCUUCUGCUUCUUUGUUUCUAUCUUCCUUCUAAUCUAGAUGAAAUUAGUGUGAAAAUAACGUGAAGUGUAAAGUCGUAGUUAAUUAUAUGGACGGAUGACUUCUUUUCCAAAUAUUAAGCCUAUGAUGAUUUAGGAAAAAGCAUCGGAAAAGUCUUCAACUUAUGGUAUUGGUAUAAAUUGAAUCAUAAACUUUUUAAUUGUGCCAAUUUAAUCAUAAAUCUUAUGACCUAGUGUCAAUUCAGUCAUUUUGGCUAAUUUUAACCAGAUAUUGCUAACUUGGAUCCCAUUCAGUUUAUGUGGCACAGCUAGCACUGAUGUGAAUAAUUUUUAAUAUUUUUUUUUCCUUUUUACUUUCUUUUCUUGGUGACCAGUUGUCGACCACUGGCCAUGGCUGGUUGGCUGGACUUGCUUGGGUGAGGGGUCUUCGUUGCCUGCCAUAAGCGAGGUUUAUCCCCAUUGAGGGCUCCCCUCCCUCAGGUUGGGGCGACCUCGCUAGAUCUAGCCCAGGCAAGGCUAGCCUUGGCCCAUGCUAAGGAAGCCUUCGCCUUGUUAAGGCUCACCCUCGCUCGACUAGGCUUUGCCUUUGGUGGGCAACAACAACCCUCGUCCAGGCAAGACUAGCUUGUCCAAUCAUGGGUAGUGGUUGGUAAAAGGAAGAAAAAGAACAAAAGGAAAGAAAAAAUCAGAAAAAUAUGAAAAAAUCAGAAAAAUAUAUUAUUAAAAAUUAUCCAUAUCAGUGUUGCCAUGCAACAUAGGACAGUCGGCGUCGAUAUUAGUAAUUUUUAGCCAAAAUUAGUUCGAUGGAUUGAAUUGAUACUAAAUCAAAAAGUUUAGGACUAAAUUAACACAAUUAAAAUGUUAAGAAUUUUUUUAACACUUUUUCCUGGUGAUUAAUAAAUGGAUGUCUUUUAACUUGCGAAUAUUUCUAGAACAUUCAUGUUUCCUAAAACCGCCUUUUUUAUUGAUAAGCUCAAUGAAUUUGACUAAUGUAAAGGCUUGGUUGUAUGAACAUACCUCAGUUUGUCCAUCUACAGCAGCUAAAUGUAAAAUUGUGUUGCCAUCUUCGUCCCUUGAGUUGACGAACUGAUCAUCACCCAAUAUAUCUAUCAAAAGCUUCAAAGCUUCCAGUUUGUUGUGCUUCACGCAUAAAUGUAGAAUCAUUUGGCCAUUUUCGACGACACUGUGAGUUGCUUUAGGUGUUGCUCGAACCAAGCAUUCCAACACAUCCACAUGUCCUUUCAUAGCUGCGACAUGAAGAGGGUUUCUUUUGUAUUUGUCACGGACGAAACAUAUUUCGGGGUUGACUCUUACCAAGCUUUCCACUAUGUGAAGGUACCCUUUUGCUGCCGCGAGAUGAAGCGGCGUCAAACUCUGAGAUUCUUGCUCUCUUGCCAGCUCAGUCUUUCGAGCUAGGAUCUCUUCCACAAAAUCCAAGUGUCCGAGCAUGGUUGCGAUAUGCAAAGGAGUCUCAUUGUGAUUCCCAGUCAUAAUUCUGUCAAGAAGCAACUUAUCUUUUCUGAGUAACUCAACCAAAGAACGCACAUUUCCUUCCACGGCAGCUUCAUAGAGCUCGGAAUCCAUGUUUGGCUCUCUAAAAUGAGAGUUUUGGGAUACUCACUACUCCAGUUUGGACUUGAAUAUAUAUUGUAAAGGUAGGCUUGACGAGGAUAAAAAAAUGAUCGGUGGAUAAUUUGACAUCUCUUAUCUGCAAGUACGUGGCUCAAGUUUCCGUUGGCCAAACGUCGUUGCGCCUUGGAUGUUUCUAUACACACGCUAGGAGAAUUAUCUAUUGAAUGCUGACGUGAUAAUUAUUAAACAAUCUUUCUUUAUUUUUAUCCAAUUUUUUUAUUAAUUUUUUCUCUUUCCUCUCCUAUCUCAUUGGGCUUUUUUUCUCACAAUGGCCGAUGAGGCUUCAAUGAGACUUGCAGCCACAAAGUCCUUGAUAGCCGCCGCUGCGCCAAUGAGGAUCACAGCCCUUGCCCGGCCUCCCCCAAAUCUGGCAAGGCCUAGGGGCUGUGGGUGAGGGCCACAAUCCUUGUUGGUGGCCGAUGAGGGCUUCGCGGUCCUCGCCUAGCCUCACUAGCCAUUGCGGGAAGAAGCCGAAGGAGGAAGAAGAGCAAAAAGAAAAAAAGAAUUAAUUAAAAAAUAUUGAAAAAAAAUAUUUAAAAUUACUAAGUUUACAUUGAUUGAUUAGCAUUUGCCAUUUACGUUCAAAAUUAAUUAGAUGGAUUAAAUUGAUAUCAAUGUAAAAAAAAAUUAAAAUUAAAUUGAUCCAAUUAAAAAAAUUUAUACUAAAUGAUAUUAAUAUUAUAAAUUUAAGAUUUUUUUUUUGUACUUCACCCAUAAUUAUUAUAACAUGAAAUCCAAACAUGUGGACCCAUAUUAUCUUUGUUCAUUUAAUUUUCGCACGAGACUCACGGGAAUCAGAAACUAAGAUGACGGUGCCAUCCCAAUUGCUACUUGAGCUGGGAGGCCUCCAUUUUGGGAGCUCUUUUGCAUUUUUUCUUAAAUUGGGUAGGAAAGAUCUGUUUAUAUAUCCAUCGGGCCGUUAUAUUCCAAUCUAAUUGCAAACAUGCAAUGACUAGAAAUUCAAUCGAAUUGUUAGAAUUUAGUAUGUAUUAGAGAUAGUCCCACAUACUCUAUUAAUCAUUUGACAGUUGAAAGCCCUUACUAGAUUUCAUUACAAAGAAACAUGUCUCAUUACACAUAUCGAAAUCUUAUAAGAUAACAGAGGGAACUCCACAAGCCCCUAAAAACUUUCGUAGACAGAACUAAAACCGGGCCAUCAUCAACGGGCCUUGACUUUGAUGGUCUUGGUCUUCGGCUCCGGCGGCCGCACCUUCUCGACGGCCACCCUGAGCACCCCGUCCUGGCACGCCGCGGUCACCGUCUCCACAUUAGCGUUCUCCGGCAGCGCGAACCUCCUCAGGAACUUCCCGGUCCUCCUCUCCAUGCUCAGGUACUUGGCCCCUUCCUCUUUCUCCCUCUUCCUCUCCCCGCUCACGACGAGCACGUUGUCGUUCUCUAUCUGCACCUUGAUCUCGCUGGCCCUUAUCCUGGGCAUGUCCACGACGAACACGUAGGAGACCGGGUACUCCACGACGUCCGCAGGGGUCGCCGCCAUGGCCUUUGCAUCGCGGACGUAGGCGCGCGAGGGGUUGCUCCUCUCUCGGGCUCCUCGGGGAAGUCGAGCAUGUCUUCGAGGAUCCCAAAGAGGCGCGAAUCGAAGCCGAGAUUACGCAGAUCCAUCGGGCUGUUCGCUUUUCCUCGUCUUGAAGAGGGAGUGUGCUUGAUUGUGGGAUGCAGAGGCUGGAGCUCUAGUUAACUGGGGUUUUAUAGAGCAGUUUGAAGGAG
rnacentral:lncRNA from 1 species